AGGGUCCUGGUCACGUGGGGAGAGUGGGCGGGGGAAGUUCGGAGAGCGGGAUCUGGAUUGUAGUGGGCUGGGCCCCACUGAGCUGGGAUGGCAGGAGGAUAGUCUUGGGGAGGAGCGUGGGGUGCUGGAUGCAUAACUACGUCCCGAACUGGUUCCUGUGUUUUUCUAGGGCAUGUGGGCUAGGGAUGGGUACUUGAGCAGAAGCCAGCAACUUGAAUGAAGAGUCUGUGCAGGAGUUACCUGCAGUGUCGGAAAUGACUGUCCUGUAUGCUCAACAAGCUCAUUUAUGGAAAGUCAUCCAUUUGUUGAGACCAGCCCAAAAGACCCUCAGGAACUUAGAAUAUUCCUACCGACUUUGAAGACCAUAGCCCCAAAGCUGAGCUGUGAAAUGGAGCAGCAAAGAAGGUAUCAUUGUCAAAGCUCAAGUUCCAUCAUAAUGAUAAAGUAGGCAGAAAGUGUUUUGGGGGCCACCACUGCCUUCUCUUUCUGCACUAUCUCCUACCUCCCUUCCCUCCCAAGUGCCCAGGGUCCUAGUCCACAUCCGAUCUAUUUGGGGUUCCUCUGCAGCAUCCUACUAAAGCUUAUUUUUCAUGGGUAUAUUCUAAAGUGAACCAAAUCCUAUCUUUCAACAAAAGUUGCUACUCUUUAUUCCAUUUUUUAUGGGCCCCAUUUUUUUCCUCGGGAAAGAUAAUAUUCAAAAAAUCUAUUUCUGAUAAAUUGUUAAUGAUGAGAAUGGAUUUAGGAUAAUGUCUGGCACAAAAAUACUUGCUGAAGAUAUAAAAGCAUCUGGUAAUCUAAUAAUAUCUCUAGGUCACAUGUAUAUGUUCUAACAGGGGCCACUUGGAUACAUUUCUUAAAUUACAGAAAAUGAUGUGGUUAUAAAGUAAUCCAAUAAUAAUUGAUUGAAUUAUGUCUCUUUGCUCUUCAUCAACUCAUUUAUGGAAGGUCAUCCAUUUAUUGAGACCAGCCCAAAACACCCUCAGGAACUAAAUUGGACAGUUCCAGACCUAUAAGAAAGUUCUAUCUGGGGGAUAUAGCGCACUCACGUAAAUGAGACACAGCUGGGAAUGGAGCUGCAACUUGAAGAGCUGCUGAGGAUCAUCAUUCCUUUUUCUUUACGUGGCUGCAUGAUCCUUCUUCUAUGCAUCAUUUUGCAAGUAUGCUCUCUUCUGUUUGGCAAACUGACUUUCUUUGCUUACUCUUGGUCUCUGAUCAUCCAUAGCUUUGUCUUGCCCAUGACUUUGGUUUGACAUAGUGUUGACCUGUGAACAGACCCUAGAUGAGCUUUCACAAAGCUUUCUAUGUUGAACUGACUCUGUUAUUCUCCAGAUUCCCAGGAGAAGAAUCUGAUUGGUUGAAUUUGGGUCAGCUAUGCACCCAACAUGAUUAAUUCAGCUGAAAGUAGGAGAGGGAGCACAUGAUCAACACAUGGUCACCUCUGCCCAUUCCUUUAGCAGCUCUAGUGGACUGAGGUGAAGGAUGGCAUUUAUCAGGGAAGGGAGUUUGGGCAGAUACAUUUCUUAAGACAUAUCUACCACAGCCUUAGUGGGUGGGUAAAAUGUGGAAGAAAUUAACUUCUGUAAGAGGAAAUGGCACCAACAAAAGCACAAAGCAAAGAUAUUUUUUAUAUAUACAUAUUCAGUAAAUUUUCUAGAUUAAUUAGACUGAUGUUCAAGGAUCAUUACAUAGUCUGGAUUUAUUGUAGCCCAAGAUAUACAUAGAGGACAAUAAGGUAAUGAGGCUGGAGAUACAUUCUAGUAUCAGAUUGUCAAGGGCAUUUUAAAUGCCAGACUGAGGCAUUUAGAUUUUUUAGGGUGUCUCUAAUGUCUGAGGAUACACCAUGGAGGGAAGCUGCCAAGUUUUUCUGGAAAAUAUUAUUUGGUUCCUGGGUAAACCCUAGGAUCGAGUCAAGUAGCAGGUUAAUUUCAUUUUACAGUGCAUUGAAAGAGAAAUCAAUCCACAAAUUGAAAUAAUGUAGAAAGAAGUCUACUUAGAUUAAGAGUCUACUUAGUAAGUUAGUAAAAAAAAAAAAAAAUAGAUUAUCUGUUAUUUCAACACUUUUAAAAUAAAGCUAGUAGAUCUCUACAAAUGACCUAAUUAAAAAUCCAAGCCAAGAAGCCAAUAGCCAUUACACAACAAAUACAGAUAACAAUGACAACAACAACAGCAGCAGCAGCAUUUAUAAGGUUUCUUCUAUGGGCCCACUACUGUUUUAAGCAUUUGUGUGAAUGGUAUAAGGUAAGUGAAUGAGUGUUUUAUUCAUCUGUUAAACACAUAUAAUCUUUUUCUUUCAUGGCCCAGAAUCACUGAAUCUUAAGAGUUGUGAAGGACUGUGACCUCCAUGCCAGGGGCAGAGUCUCCUUUAGAAAUAUCUGUUAAUCCUCUAACAGUUACCAGAGUCUGUCUGGUAAUUGGCCAUUUACCUAGAACCUAACAGAAUCCAGAUUAUAUAGCCCUAUGGUUCUGAAGACUGGACAGGCAGUUUCAUGUACAGAGGUACAGCUGACUUGCAUACUAUAUGUUGGGCCUUAAAGUCCACAUUAGAAUAUCAAAGUGUUUUGUAAACUGCAUGUCUCUAUAGAGAAUACAAAUCUACUCUAGGAUUUGAUAAGUCUGCUUCUUGCUUUAAAUUUAAUGCUAAUGGUAAACUGAAAAAGAUUUCUAGUGACAGAUAAUUAGUGAUAAUGGUAAUUACUGGCCUUUAUAUAGUCUUUCACCCAAACAGACGGCAGAGCACUCACAAAAUGAGUGCUUUAAGGCAUAAUUUCUCCCCCUUCUUAAAUAAAAGUUCCUCUAGGGUCAGCAAUAGUUUGUAUUUAACACACUGCAUUAUGUUACCCAUAACUAAACAACCAUUUCCAGACAAUUCAGUUAGUCUGUUAAUUUGCUUAGCAAUUAGCUUUGAAUGGAUUUUUUUGCCCUGAAUACAUUAUAAAUGUAUGAAUGCAUGUUUGCCUUGCUUAUUUUUCUUAUUAUUUUAUUUAACUUUUGUAAGCCACUGUGGUUACCAUCGCAUGGAUGAUUUCCAGGGAGCGGGAGGCUGGGUCACUUUGCAGGCUUCCACAGGCCCUGUCUCCAUGAACAGAAGUUAGCCUCUUGUAGAUGGAGCCAUCCAUCCCCAUACAUUUGUUGCUGUUUUCAUUUGUUUGUUUUGAGACGAAGUC